rnacentral:rRNA from 1 species
GAUGAACGCUAGCGGCAGGCCUAAUACAUGCAAGUCGAACGGUAAGUAUGAUAGCAAUAUUGUACCAAGAGUGACGUACGGGUGCGUAACACGUAUGCAACCUACCCUUUACAGAUGGAUAGCUCGGGGAAACUCGAAUUAACCCGUCAUAGUAUAGUUGAAUGGCAUCAUUUAAUUAUUAAAACUGAGGUGGUAAAGGAUGGGCAUGCGUCUGAUU